rnacentral:rRNA from 1 species
AGUGAACGCUGGCGGUAGGCCUAACACAUGCAAGUCGAACGGCAGCACAGUAAGAGCUUGCUCUUACGGGUGGCGAGUGGCGGACGGGUGGGGAAUACAUCGGAAUCUACUUUUUCGUGGGGGAUAACGUAGGGAAACUUACGCUAAUACCGCAUACGACCUACGGGUGAAAGCAGGGGAUCUUCGGACCUUGCGCGACUGAAUGAGCUGAUGUCGGAUUAGCUAGUUGGCGGGGUAAAGGCCCACCAAGGCGACGAUCCGUAGCUGGUCUGAGAGGAUGAUCAGCCACACUGGAACUGAGACACGGUCCAGACUCCUACGGGAGGCAGCAGUGGGGAAUAUUGGACAAAGGGCGCAAGCCUGAUCCAGCCAUACCGCGUGGGUGAAGAAGGCCUUCGGGUUGUAAAGCCCUUUUGUUGGGAAAGAAAAGCAGCAGGUUAAUACCCCGCUGUUCUGACGGUACCCAAAGAAUAAGCACCGGCUAACUUCGUG